rnacentral:lncRNA from 1 species
CAAUUAGUUGUUUAAUUAGAGGGUCGUUGUCAUUGUAUGGUCAGCAGGAAAAAAAACUGUUUUGUUUAGGCGCCUUAUAAGUAAGGCGUGCACAGCAGAGGAUCCAGACGCAUCUGAGGGAACCUCCACACAGAAUGACACCCAACUCCUGCUGGCCAGUGCUCCUGCUCUUGGGCUGCUCUGUGCUCCAGACCCCAGCUGCACAGAGCGCGGACGAGCGCCCUCUCUCGGCUGACCAGGACCGUCUGGACCCAGAUGCCACACAUGAAAAUAUGCAAGAAGAACUCAGAAGUAUUGAGCUGGAGAGAAUUCAAGACAUCCUGCCAUCCGUCACCAGGAAAAUCGAUGUGCCCACCAUUCAGAAACUGUACCACUCCGUGACCAACCUGCCGCUCCGCUUUGGGAGAGCGUCCCAGCCCGUCGCCAAUCUGCCCCUGCGGUUCGGCAGAGGCCUGACUGAGGGCUCGGCACGCAAGGCCAAGGCGGCGCUCAAUCUGCCCCAGCGCUUCGGCCGGGCCCCGGCGCGCCUGCCCCCUCUUCCCGCGGUGCCGCAGCGGCGGGCCCGCACGGUCG